AGUCAAUAGAUACCCUGGUAGUCCACGCCCUAAACGAUGUCGACUGGUUGUUGGGGGUUUGACACUCUCAGUAAACGAAAGCUAAACGCGUGAAGUCGACCGCCUGGGGAGUACGGCCGCAAGGUUAAAACUCAAAGGAAUUGACGGGGACCCGCACAAGCGGUGGAUUAUGUGGAUUAAUUCGAUGCAACGCGAAAAACCUUACCUACCCUUGACAUGUCCGGAAGGCUUAAGAGAUUAGGCUGUGCCCGAAAGGGAACCGGAACACAGGUGCUGCAUGGCUGUCGUCAGCUCGUGUCGUGAGAUGUUGGGUUAAGUCCCGCAACGAGCGCAACCCUUGUCAUUAGUUGCUACAUUCAGUUGGGCACUCUAAUGAGACUGCCGGUGACAAACCGGAGGAAGGUGGGGAUGACGUCAAGUCCUCAUGGCCCUUAUGGGUAGGGCUUCACACGUAAUACAAUGGCGCGUACAGAGGGUUGCCAAGCCGCGAGGUGGAGCCAAUCCCUUAAAGCGCGUCGUAGUCCGGAUUGCAGUCUGCAACUCGACCGC
rnacentral:rRNA from 1 species